rnacentral:rRNA from 1 species
GUGCCAGCCGCCGCGGUAAUACAGAGGGUGCAAGCGUUGUUCGGAAUUAUUGGGCGUAAAGCGCGUGUAGGCGGUGGCGUAUGUCGCGUGUGAAAGCCCUCGGCUCAACCGAGGAAGUGCGCGCGAAACUACGUUGCUAGAGUGCCGGAGAGGGUGGCGGAAUUCCGGGUGUAGAGGUGAAAUUCGUAGAUAUCCGGAGGAACACCAGUGGCGAAGGCGGCCACCUGGACGGACACUGACGCUGAGACGCGAAAGCGUGGGUAGCAAACAGGAUUAGAUACCCUGGUAGUCCACGCCGUAAACGAUGGGAACUAGCUGUGGUGGGAGUUGACCCCUGCCGUGGCGCAGCUAACGCAUUAAGUUCCCCGCCUGGGAAGUACGGCCGCAAGGCUAAA